AGAUUUUAAACCUAUUAAAACUGUAAUUUUUGUAGAUUCUUUGUCAGCUCUUCAAGCCAUCAGAGCUCCUAUUUUUAAAGUAAAGAAUCAAAUUUUAUACGAUAUUCAUUUAAUUUUGACUUCACUUAAAAAGGGUGGAUCAGAAAUUAUAUUUGAAUGGAUACCAAGUCAUGUCGGAGUAAUGGGCAACGAAAGUGCAGAUUUACAAGCCAAAAACGCACUUAAUUUAGACAACUGCAUAGAUUUUAUACCUCUCUUUAAAGAAGACAUUAAAACUGUCUGUAAAAAUUUUCUGAAAAAUUCAUGGCAAAAAGAUUGGGAAACAAACAAAGAUAGGUCAUUAUUUAAAAUUAUUGAUAAAGUAAAUUUUCAAAUUAAUAUUCCAAAUUUAACAAGAGAGAAAGAAAUAUUACUCUUCAAAUUAAGAACAGGAUAUAUUGGACUAAAUAAGCACCUGAAUAAAAUUGGAGUAGUUACCUCAAAUCUAUGUAUAAACUGCAAC
rnacentral:lncRNA from 1 species